rnacentral:lncRNA from 1 species
AUGUCAUUCUAAUUUGGUAUUCCUUCUCUUGGAAAGCAAAAAGGGUCAGCCUUACAGCCCGGUUCUCCCUUGAGGCCAGAACCAAUUUCUCCCUUGGACAGAGUUGGAAGAGAAAACUGAGGCUCUGAGUGGCACAUCUUGAGCUCUGGGAGGUAGUGGCAGUAAAGGAUCUGCUCUAAAAAACGAAUCCACAUUCAUCAGAGAUCCCAGCCUCUUGGAGAUAGGACUGACAAGAAGCCUUAUCAAGUUAAUGUUACUGAAGGAAUAGAGAUUGGCUCUCAAAUCUUACCCACUGCAGAUACUAAGUGAUAGUUCAUGGAGUUACCCCUGCAAAAGUUGAGGAGUGAUUGCAGAUAUGAUUUAACUCAAUGCCCUUCUUGGACCUGGGCUUUUGGAGGAAACAUCCAGUCUUCUUAUGUUUCUAUCACUAGAAAUCACAGUCUCCUUUGGAGGAGGAGUCGAUUCCCCUGGUGCCAGCAGCCCAGUGAAUUUUCACCUAAGCAUGGUGGUAACGUCAUCUUCCUUGUGAGUACUGCAGCAUUCAGCAGUUCCAAUUCCAUCGGGAGCCUCCGAAUGGCACCAUUACAGCAAAUAAUGUAUCCUCUGACUGUCUUCUGUCAGCAUACUGUUUAAUGGAAAAAGAUAUUUUAAUGGACUGCAAAGCUGUAACCGAGCAUACAUACAAAAGGCUCAAGUUGAUGAUCUUUCUCAUUCUUUAUUGGCAACUUUCGGGUUUCGAGGGGUGUUCUUCAACUUCACUCUCCAUCCUCUACAAACAUAGAGAAGGAGGGGUCAAAGGGCAAAGGGAAUUAUGGACAUGUCAGGGUCAAUGUGAUCUUUCAGGAAGAUGACAAUCUGGAGAAUAUGACAAAGUUCAAUUAAAGCUCCAUGCCACUCAGAGACCCAUGAAGAAGUAUGAGACAGCAUCUUCAUGAGACAUUGGGAUGUCUUUUGGAUGCUAUGGGAAUUACUUAUGUUUUUUACGUAGUGUCCUCCCACCUUGAAAGUGACUUAUUUCUAACAGGAGAUGACUGAAGGACCACACUAUCCUUUAGUUACCCUUUUGUCUCCUCAUUCAAAGUCCUGACCACACGACAAUUCUGGAGAAUGUAGCCAUAGUGCUAAAAAGCAUUUAUCACCACCAUUAAAAAAAAAAUUGGAAAAUGAGUAUGAAAGAAAGCUAUUACCUUCUUAACUACCAAAUAAACUCAGUGGUCUAUGUAGAUGAUGAUGAAAU